AUUGAACGCUGGCGGCAUGCCUUACACAUGCAAGUCGAACGGUAACGCGGGGCAACCUGGCGACGAGUGGCGAACGGGUGAGUAAAGCAUCGGAACGUGCCCAGUAGUGGGGGAUAGCCCGGCGAAAGCCGGAUUAAUACCGCAUACGACCUAAGGGUGAAAGGGGGGGAUCGCAAGACCUCUCGCUAUUGGAGCGGCCGAUGUCAGAUUAGCUAGUUGGUGGGGUAAAAGCUCACCAAGGCGACGAUCUGUAGCUGGUCUGAGAGGACGACCAGCCACACUGGGACGGAGACACGGCCCAGACUCCGACGGGAGGCAGCAGUGGGGAAUUUUGGACGAUGGACGAAAGUCUGAUCCAGCCAUGCCGCGUGCGGGAAGAAGGCCUUCGGGUUGUAAACCGCUUUUGUCAGGGAAGAAAUCCUUUGAGCUAAUACCUCGGGGGGAUGACGGUACCUGAAGAAUAAGCACCGGCUAACUACGUGCCAGCCGCCGCGGUAA
rnacentral:rRNA from 1 species